rnacentral:rRNA from 1 species
GUAGGUGGCAAGCGUUGUCCGGAAUUAUUGGGCGUAAAGCGCGCGCAGGCGGUUCUUUAAGUCUGAUGUGAAAGCCCACGGCUCAACCGUGGAGGGUCAUUGGAAACUGGAGAACUUGAGUACAGAAGAGGAAAGCGGAAUUCCACGUGUAGCGGUGAAAUGCGUAGAGAUGUGGAGGAACACCAGUGGCGAAGGCGGCUUUCUGGUCUGUAACUGACGCUGAGGCGCGAAAGCGUGGGGAGCAAACAGGGAUUAGAUACCCUGGUAGUCCACGCCGUAAACGAUGAGUGCUAAGUGUCAGGGGGGUUUUCCGCCCCCCUUAGUGCUGCAGCUAACGCAUUAAGCACUCCGCCUGGGAGUACGGCCGCAAGGCUG